CAAUAGCGUAUAUUUAAGUUGCUGCAGUUAAAAAGCUCGUAGUUGGAUUUCGGGUGGGAAUGGCCGGUCCGCCGUUUCGGUGUGCACUUGCUACGCCCACCUUGCUGCCGGGGACGUGCUCUUGAGUUCACGCUCGGGACACGGAGUCGGCGAGGUUACUUUGAGUAAAUUAGAGUGUUCAAAGCAGGCCUACGCUCUGAAUACAUUAGCAUGGAAUAACACGAUAGGACUCUGGCCUAUCUUGUUGGUCUGUAGGACCGGAAUAAUGAUUAAGAGGGACAGUCGGGGGCAUUCGUAUUUCAUUGUCAGAGGUGAAAUUCUUGGAUUUAUGAAAGACGAACUACUGCGAAAGCAUUUGCCAAGGAUGUUUUCAUUAA
rnacentral:rRNA from 1 species